AGAAUCUCCAUGGGAAACACAACUAAACAGCUCUGCUCUCAAUUGGGGUUGAGACAAAUGAAGAUUAUCACCUCAGUGAUCAUCAUCAGCCACAUUACAGAUAAAACUCCAUUCUACCCUCAUGCCAGACAGUCAGUUAACCAGCAGAAAAUAAUAACCAAAGAUGGUUGAGUGUGUACAUCACAAGGCAAUAAGAGAAAUUUCCCAGUUAUCCUGUCCUUUCUUGUUCCUGGAAAAUGACACCUGAAAUUAAUCAAGUAGCCUUGGAAAUCACAGAUGCAGAGAGUCAUGGGGAUAAGAGUUUUCAGACAUUAUCAUUUUUCUCCUGAUAAACCAUCUGUGACAUGGAGACCUUGAAGCUGGGAGUUCUGGCCACAAUGCUCAAUAGACUGUGCACAGAGCUUUUUCAGAGAACUGCAGGGCUUCCUGGUGUACUGGCCUCCCCAGGAUUACUUGGAAGGCAAUGGAAAGCUAUUGCCUAUCAAACUCGGAUGAAAAACUGUGGAAGAACUGCCAGCAACUGGGAUAGCAUGGUACCUCUGCCAU
rnacentral:lncRNA from 1 species